rnacentral:rRNA from 1 species
GAGUACCUACGGGAGGCAGCAGUGGGGGAUAUUGCACAAUGGGGGGAACCCUGAUGCAGCGACGCCGCGUGGGCGAUGGAGUACUUCGGUAUGUAAAGCCCUCUCAGCAGGGAAGAAAAUGACGGUACCUGACUAAGAAGCCCCGGCUAAAUACGUGCCAGCAGCCGCGGUAAUACGUAUGGGGCAAGCGUUAUCCGGAUUUACUGGGUGUAAAGGGAGCGUAGGCGGCCUGGCAAUCCUGAUGUGAAAUACCGGGGCCCAACCCCGAGGCUGCAUUGGCAACUGCC